UACGUAGGGUGCAAGCGUUAAUCGGAAUUACUGGGCGUAAAGCGUGCGCAGGCGGUUAUGCAAGACAGAUGUGAAAUCCCCGGGCUCAACCUGGGAACUGCAUUUGUGACUGCAUGGCUAGAGUGCGGCAGAGGGGGAUGGAAUUCCGCGUGUAGCAGUGAAAUGCGUAGACAUGCGGAGGAACACCGAUGGCGAAGGCAAUCCCCUGGGCCUGCACUGACGCUCAUGCACGAAAGCGUGGGGAGCAAACAGG
rnacentral:rRNA from 1 species